rnacentral:rRNA from 1 species
UACAGAGGGUGCAAGCGUUAAUCGGAAUUACUGGGCGUAAAGCGUGCGUAGACGGUUAAGUAAGUUAGGUGUGAAAGCCCCGGGCUCAACCUGGGAAUUGCAUUUAAGACUGCAUAGCUAGGGUGCGGAAGAGGGAAGCGGAAUUUCCGGUGUAGCGGUGAAAUGCGCAGAUAUCAGGAAGAACACCCGUGGCGAAGGCGGCUCUCUGGGACGGUACUGACGCUGAGACGCGAAAGCGUGGGGAGCGAACAGG